AGAGUUUGAUCCUGGCUCAGAAUCAACGCUGGCGGCGUGCCUAACACAUGCAAGUCGAACGAGAAAGUGGAGCAAUCCAUGAGUAAAGUGGCGACCGGGUGAGUAACACGUGACUAACCUACCUUCGAGUGGGGGAUAACUCCGGGAAACCGGGGCUAAUACCGCAUAACAUCUUCGGAUCGGAAGAUCCGGGGAUCAAAGGAGCAAUUCGCUUGAAGAGGGAGUCGCGGCUGAUUAGCUAGUUGGCGGGGUAAUGGCCCACCAAGGCGAUGAUCGGUAUCCGGCCUGAGAGGGCGCACGGACACACUGGAACUGAAACACGGUCCAGACUCCUACGGGAGGCAGCAGUGGGGAAUUUUGCGCAAUGGGGGAAACCCUGACGCAGCAACGCCGCGUGGAGGAUGAAGUCCCUUGGGACGUAAACUCCUUUCGACCGGGACGAUUAUGACGGUACCGGUGGAAGAAGCCCCGGCUAACUUCGUGCCAGCAGCCGCGGUAAUACGAGGGGGGCAAGCGUUGUUCGGAAUUAUUGGGCGUAAAGGGCGCGUAGGCGGUGCGGUAAGUCACCAGUGAAAUCUCUGGGCUCAACUCAGAGCCUGCUGGCGAAACUGCCGUGCUGGAGUAUGG
rnacentral:rRNA from 1 species